rnacentral:rRNA from 1 species
UAGGAAGCUUAAAAGGGCGUAUGGUGGAUGCCUUGGCUCUUGGAGAAGACGAAGGACGUGGUAAGCUGCGAAAAGCCGUGGGGAGUUGCAAACAAACUGUGAUCCGCGGAUGUCCGAAUGGGGCAACCCAUCUAGAUGAAGUCUAGAUAUUCCAUGAAUGUGGAAAUAGAACCCGGGGAACUGAAACAUCUAAGUACCCGGAGGAAGAGAAAAUAAUAAUGAUUCCGUAAGUAGUGGCGAGCGAACGCGGAAGAGCCCAAACCGCAGUGUACUAAUGCUGUGGGGUUGUAGGACCCGAUGUACGAAGCUAAAAUGAAUGAGAACACAACUGGAAAGUUGGACCAUAGAGGGUGAUAGUCCCGUAUCGGUAAGUUUUAGAAUAGUUAGGGUAUCCUGAGUAGGGCGGGACCGGAGAAAUCCUGCUUGAAUCUGCCGGCACCAUCCGGUAAGGCUAAAUACUACCAAGAGACCGAUAGUGAACCAGUACUGUGAAGGAAAGGUGAAAAGAACCCCGGGAAGGGGAGUGAAAAGAACCUGAAACCAUACGCCUACAAGCGGUCGGAGCUGGAUAUUUAUAUCUGGUGACGGCGUGCCUUUUGCAUAAUGAUCCUACGAGUUACUCCUCACCGGCAAGCUUAAGUGUUUAAGACACGGAGGCGGAGCGAAAGCGAGUCUGAAUAGGGCGCAAGUCGGUGGGGGUAGACGCGAAACCAUGUGAUCUACCCAUGGGCAGGUUGAAGCUUCGAUAGUAUCGAAGUGGAGGACCGAACCGGUAAACGUUGAAAAGUUUUCGGAUGACCUGUGGGUAGGGGUGAAAGGCCAAUCAAACUUGGAGAUAGCUCGUACUCCCCGAAAUGCAUUUAGGUGCAGCGUCGGGUUGAGGUGUCAUGGAGGUAGAGCUACCAAUAGGGCUAGGGGGCUUCACCGCCUACCAACCCCUGAUGAACUCCGAAUGCCAUGACAUCAUACCGGCAGUGAGGCUACGGGUGCUAAGGUCCGUAGCCGAGAGGGGAACAACCCAGACCAACAGCUAAGGUCCCCAAAUAGAUAUUAAGUUGAUUUUAACGAUGUGAGGAUGCAGUGACAGCUAGGAUGUUUGCUUGGAAGCAGCAAUUCAUUUAAAGAGUGCGUAACAGCUCACUAGUCGAGCGUUCUUGCGCGGAAAAUAAUCGGGCAUCAAAUAUCUUACCGAAGCUUUGGAUACCAGUCUAGGACUGGUGGUGGUAGGGGAGCAUUCUAAACUGCAGUGAAGGUGUGUCGUGAGAUGCGCUGGAGUGUUUAGAAAAGCAAAUGUAGGAAUGAGUAACGAUAAAAUAGGUGAGAAACCUAUUCGCCGUAAGACUAAGGAUUCCGGGAUCUAUGUUAAUCAGAACCGGGUUAGUCGGGGCCUAAGGUGUAGCCGAAGGGCGAAGCCGAUGGGAAACAGGUUAAUAUUCCUGUACAUGUAUCAGCUGUGAUGGGGUGACGAAGGAGCGUAAGGUUCGCCCACUGACGGAAUAGUGGGUUGAAGGGAGAAGGCGUUGAAGAUAUAGGCAAAUCCGUAUCUGAGCUGAGACCUGAUAGUACACAAGUCCCUUGGGAUGAGUGAUAGUGACUGUAAGCAUACUUCCAAGAAAAACCUCUAAACUUCAGGCUGACACAUCCCGUACCGUAAACCGACACAGGUAGUCGAGGAGAGUAUCCUAAGGCGCUCGAGUGAUCCGUGGCUAAGGAACUAGGCAAAAUGGUCUCGUAACUUCGGGAGAAGAGACUCCCCUCGUGAGAGGGGACGCAGUGAAGAGGCCCAGGCGACUGUUUAACAAAAACACAGGACUCUGCAAAAUCGUAAGAUGAAGUAUAGGGUCUGACACCUGCCCGGUGCUGGAAGGUUAAGGAAGGGGGUUAGUGCGUAAGUGCGAAGCUCUUAACUGAAGCCCCAGUAAACGGCGGCCGUAACUAUAACGGUCCUAAGGUAGCGAAAUUCCUUGUCGGGUAAGUUCCGACCUGCACGAAUGGUGUAACGAUCUGGGCGCUGUCUCAGCCACGAGCUCGGUGAAAUUGAAGUAUCGGUGAAGAUGCCGAUUACCCGCAACGGGACGGAAAGACCCCGUGAACCUUUACUACAACUUCACAUUGAGCUUGAAUACAGGAUGUGUAGGAUAGGUGGGAGGCUACGAAGCUGUGACGCUAGUCAUGGUGGAGCCAACGUUGAAAUACCACCCUUCCUGUAUUUAGGUUCUAAUCCCUAAAAGGGAAACAGUGUGUGGUGGGUAGUUUGACUGGGGUGGUCGCCUCCAAAAAAGUAACGGAGGCUCGCAAAGGUACACUCAGCAUGGUCGGUAAUCAUGCGAAGAGCGUAUUAGUAUAAGUGUGCUUGACUGAGAGACCGACGGGUCGAUCAGGAACGAAAGUUGGCUAAAGUGAUCCGGUGUUUCCGCAUGGAAGGGACAUCGCUCAAAGGAUAAAAGGUACUCCGGGGAUAACAGGCUGAUCCUACCCAAGAGCUCAUAUCGACGGUAGGGUUUGGCACCUCGAUGUCGGCUCGUCACAUCCUGGGGCUGGAGAAGGUCCCAAGGGUUGGGCUGUUCGCCCAUUAAAGUGGCACGCGAGCUGGGUUCAGAACGUCGCAAGACAGUUCGGUCCCUAUCUGUUGUGGGCGCAGGAAUAUUGAAGGGAGCUGAUUCUAGUACGAGAGGACCGAAUUGGACGUACCGCUAGUGUACCGGUUGUGGCGCCAGCUGCACCGCCGGGUAGCUAUGUACGGCAUGGAUAAGCGCUGAAAGCAUCUAAGCGCGAAGCCAUCCCUAAGAUGAGUAUUCCAGCACGUAAGUGUAAAGGACCCCAGAAGACUACUGGGUUGAUAGGUUAUAGGUGGAAGUGCAGUAAUGUGCGUAGCCGAGUAAUACUAAUUGUCCGACAGCUUCCUUUU